CAUUUUUACGUAUCAAAAUGAAAUGCUUUAUAGGUAUGAAAAACCUGAUUGUAACAAUUCAAGUUGUUAUUUCAUGUUGUAAUUUUCAGUUCACGGACAUCUGCCUACAGUUUAUUUUUUAUUUGCAUUUUUUCCUCUCGUUUCUACGUUCAACGACGUGCUAAUUUUCCUUAUUCCCCUCGGUAUGUUUUCGUUCGUUUUACGGCAGAGCGCUCAGUUUUUGUUGAAAGUAAUUUCUUCCAAGUGCAGUGCUAAUUCACCAUCGUAGACAACAUGUAAGUUUUGUUUAUGAAGGCAACUUGGAAGCCAGAAUAGCUGCUGAAAAAAUACUACAAUAAACAAGAACAAGACUUGAGGGCUAUCUAGAUUGGGCAAAUAAGCUAUUUUUAUCAACAACACCUGUUCCAACGCUGACUGCGGUUUCACAUCCUCAAGGCUUGAAUUAAAAGGAAAAAUAUCCAUCGCGUUAGGCGGCUGACGAGAAUACUUUAAAACAACAGGCAUUUGCGUCAAUGAGCCGACGUUUAUUAAGAAGUCUCCUAUAGUGCGGGAAAACUGUCAUUCAGUAAGGUAAGGCUUUUCAUGUUGCUAAUUUACCGGUCUUAAAGAAAAAUAUAUUACAAAUAUCCGGAAAUCCAAUUCGGACGCGACGUAUGCCGCAGAAAGCAUUAGCAAAAUGUAAACAGAAAAGCGCUCUAAUGCCAAAUCCAAAACCGGCUAAAUUCAGCUGGUGGCAAAUACAGUACUGUCUCACGCGUUUGAAUUUCAUGUUCGAACCAGUGGUCGACUCGCCGAGUACGAUGGCUAAAGAACCAUGGAAGAUAAGUGGAAUUGAAAUUUUUUAAAAAAAAGGAACAAUAAAGGUAGCUCUUUAAGAUUCAUUUCAACCGAUUUCACUGGCAUCACACUGGCUUUCAGCAAAGCAAGCCGGUCGUUUUGUUUUUAAGCCGCGAUCAAUGAAUUGUUGAAUAAUUUAAAAACCCAACCAAAGGCAAAUUAUUAAAACGUUUUGAGCCAAUGAGAUGUACUAAAAAGAAAUCAACGCUACUAUAUGGUUCUUUCAAAAUUGAUCUCAAGGGGAAGUCUCCUUAGCUGACAUGAAUUGCCACUCUAAUGUCGGUAGGGUCACAAGUUAGCCAGUUCUGAUUGGCAAAGAGAGCUUUGCAGUGCGUCCCUAAUUUCGUAUUGAGCUCUUUAGUAAGGUUGUCUUCCGGCGGCAAGCCAGUCUGCUUGAAAGCGUAAACAGUGAUAGACAAAAUAAACAAUUUCAUUUUGAUUCGUGAUUACAAUUCCAAAUUUAAAUCCACACAAGUUUCAAUUUUCUGUGAAUUAAUGUUGAGUUAGAAUUGCUCUCUCUCGCUGAGAGCUAUUCCGGAUUUGACGUCAAUUGAUAUGGAACUUCAGGCUACCUAUUUGUAGAUUCUAAUUCUUUGUCAUGAAGAGUAAUUCACUGAAUCUCCCCUAUCUGAAAUUAACAGCUCUCUAUUGACUUAAGUCCAAUUAUGUCGAACUUUUCAGAGUCAGAAUCAUCGCGUUACGACUUUUACUAUUUGCACGUUAUCGAUUGAUAAGAAGGAGUUUUAAAUAUAUGAUCCAUUUAAAUAUAUUUUUUUUAGUUGAGCUUAAUUGCGUAGGCGGCCCAAUAUGCACAUUCUCAUUGUAUUGGACCCCAACACAAAAACAUCAUUUUCCUAUUUGACGCCAUUCAGUUGUGUGCCUUUUUAAUAUAUUCUGAAUAUAUCCGAAAUACCGUGUUAUCUAAAUUAUCGACUUCUGAAACGGGCCUAAAUUUAUUUAUACAAAUUGUCUGCCAAAAUUAGGUUGUGGUCUUGCAUUAGAAAAUGUCUGUCAUUCCUUUUGUUGACUAAUUUAUAGUAAUAGAGCCUUAUCUAGAGCAAAAUUCAUUGUGCUCGACUGCAGUCGAUAUGUUUUCAAACGAUGGCAGCCGUGGGAAAAAGAUUUUUAAAGCAUUCUUACUGAGCAAUAAGAUUCAGGGACAUAUAUCCAAACGGGCGCAGAUCCUGUACUUUUAAAAUUCAUUUAACCGCGGUGACAAAUGGGAAUUCGGAAUUCGCCAAUUAGCGCUGAUAAUAAGUUGAGUUCAAGAUCCAUAUCGAGAUCGUGGUUUUGUUGGGUGGAAACUCUCUGGUGACAUAAUUAAGUGACGCAAAUGCUUUGAGUUGAACUUGCACACAACAAAAUGGUAAAGGAAACGUUGACAAUUUGGAAUGUCAUAAUGUAGCAUUUUGGAACGAGAAUCGUCGAAAGUCCGCUAGAAAUGGAAUAGUCGGAGGUGUGGACCGGCUUUAGAAGAAAAAGCGUUCCUUCGUUGUCGAUCAACCAUCAACUCCGGACAGACGGCAUCCGUGAUAACAAUCACCAUAUUGAGUGGCUGGAUCUUGACAGCUCACGCGUGUGUUAUUUUCCUCCUCAAAAUUUUACCGCUAAAGACAAAAGCACAGCUUUAAUACUACCAGAAAUUCCAAGCCAAGCUACUCAAAAGUACCCGAGAUCGACAAAAAACAGGUUGGAAGUGAUCGAUUUGGAAUACAAGGUCGAAACUGAGUUAAUGAAAAAAGAUACACGAAUGGAAUCAGCUAAUAAUCCCAUGGAUGACGACAAAUGUGAUUGUCAAGUGUCAAUAACAGAAGGUGUCAAUCUCCUCUCUUUCAAUCAGCACAAUAACAAUGAUGAGGAAGAAUUGACCGAUGACCACUUCUCCAAAAGUGCGCUAAUCACGAAAUGGCGUGGUUCGACAGGUUCUGUUGAUAGCAACAGGGAUCAGUUAACAAUCACUGAAACAACAACGAACGAUAUGAGAUAUGAAACAAUUACUAAUCAUGUUCGGGCUGACACACAGCCAAGCAGAGAGAAGGGAAAGUUUUCAUUACCGCCGUUAAAGAAUAACGAAGGAAGGCGCCAUACUGUUCAUGAAGUGCCCAGCAUUACAGUGUGUCAGGAUGGCGAGAUUCGGGUAGGCAAGGACGCAGAGGACUCAAUCUUCGAUCCCAGAUUUCUAAUGCCAACCGAGGUAAGUCUUGUUAUUUAAACAUAAAGUGAGGUACACUUUGUUGCACUGCGACUAUUUUUAUGCGAUACCUCUUUUUACGAUCACCAACGCUUGGCUGGGCUCUGAUACUAAAUAAACUCAGUCGAAACCCGGUUUCAAACAAAUCAAGCGAGAGUUAAACGCAUUAAAAAAACGUGGAUUUUUAAAUGAUUGAUUAAUUGAUUGAUUGAUUGAUUGAUUGCCUGAUUGACCGACUGAUUGAUUGCUUGAUCGAUUGAUCGAUCGAUCGAAUGAUGACUCGAUCAGUCGGUCGAUCGGUCCAUAGAUCGAUCGCUUGAUUGGUUGGCUGGUUGGUUGAUUGUUUGA